GAUGAACGCUGGCGGCGUGCCUAAUACAUGCAAGUCGAGCGAACAGACGAGGAGCUUGCUCCUCUGACGUUAGCGGCGGACGGGUGAGUAACACGUGGAUAACCUACCUAUAAGACUGGGAUAACUUCGGGAAACCGGAGCUAAUACCGGAUAAUAUAUUGAACCGCAUGGUUCAAUAGUGAAAGACGGUUUUGCUGUCACUUAUAGAUGGAUCCGCGCCGCAUUAGCUAGUUGGUAAGGUAACGGCUUACCAAGGCAACGAUGCGUAGCCGACCUGAGAGGGUGAUCGGCCACACUGGAACUGAGACACGGUCCAGACUCCUACGGGAGGCAGCAGUAGGGAAUCUUCCGCAAAGGGCGAAAGCCUGACGGAGCAACGCCGCGUGAGUGAUGAAGGUCUUCGGAUCGUAAAACUCUGUUAUUAGGGAAGAACAAAUGUGCAAGUAACUAUGCACGUCUUGACGGUACCUAAUCAGAAAGCCACGGCUAACUACGUG
rnacentral:rRNA from 1 species